rnacentral:lncRNA from 1 species
UCGGGUAUUACACUAAAAGGAUGACUUCAAUAUGUAAAAAUACAUAAUGUGCAGAAGGCACAAGUCACAUGGUUGUCAAAAUAAGUCCAUCAACAAAUAAUUAUAUGGUGUAAUUAGAUCCAGAGUAAUUCAUUCACUAAUGUUUACUUUACUACACCAAAUAAUGUAAUUGGUUUCAUUGUAUGGAACCAACUCAUGAAUCAAGAAUUCAUAAUGGCUCGAAUUACAGACAAGUUAGAGUAGUGCUACCAUUAACGGUGAAUGUAAAAGAUGUCAAUAUAAUAAAUAGCGAAACUGAAAAAAGAGUAGACCAGAGAAAAGGAAAAAAUAGAAAAUAGUAUUUGAGGCCUCCAUGGAAUAAUGAUUGGCAACUAAACCGCCAAAAAAAUCUACAACCUCAUACGAUUGAGCUUUGUAUUCAGUAUUAACAAAUCAUUGUCAAGCUGCCUUCUUUGACAAGCCAGAAAAGCAUGAGUCCAAGGCAAAAGAGAAAUAAAAUCAAGAAGGAAGAACGGGCGAGUCAGUGUAGAAUCUUGAUACCUCUGUCACUGUGUAACAACGACGAACACAAGGGAAGCUUAGCAAAAAUGGGCGAAAAAGGUAAAAAAAACAUCUAAGAAGUAAAGACCUCUAAUAAAACAAAUGGCAGCAAAGGAUAAGCAUAGCAAACCUGUAGCUUCAUUGUCAUUUUUGUUAAAGCCUGUAAUUUCUCAAAUAAGUCUCUAGAAGCCUUUGAUUGACUGUUAGACAUGUACCCAGAGCAAUUAACUACAAGCUUUAUGAAAUAAUGUCUUAUGAAAUUACUCUACAUUACUGAAUUAAUGCACCAAUACAGUUUUUCAAGAAGAUAAAGAUAGUGGGUUACUUGAAUUUAUAGAAGAGAAACCCACCAAUCAUAACAAAUGAGAAGCACGCUGCAAGAAGCACCACCAAAAACCUGCAUAACCCCAAUUUAAGAUUCAUUCUAUCAAGUAAUAGAUUGACAUUGUCAAGUAGACGCACUUUAGGAGAUCUGUCAAAAGAAAUGUAUGAAACAACAGAUUGGCAGAGUUCAGCAAUACUAAACCUCCCUUGCGUGAUUUUUUAACCUAUUUUAAGUAUACACGUGUUGACCAAAACCCAUUCCUUUCUCUACUACUAAAUUAAGAGCUUCUCAUUUCUGAUGGCUCAAACAUGUUGAUUACACAUAAUUGUAGUUAGUUAUACUGAAUCUAAUAAUAAUUGUUGUUAAUUAGCACCUAUAUAUGACAACUAUUAUAAAUUUGGUUGUGGCUUGAUAGUCAACUAUAUGCAAAUGUAAUAGAAUAUAACAACGUACCCACCAUAACAGCCCCCACCAUCUAGGGCUUGAUUGUAAAAUGUAAACUUUAUUUUGUAUUUUUCUAUAACUGAUAUAACAGCCCUGCAACUGAUGUAACAGCCCCUUAGUUUUGGCCUUUGGGCAUCAUAAUUGCUAAAGAUAUUAUAUAAGGCUAGAGAUCAAGCAUAAAAAGUUAAAAUUAUACACAAUUAAGAGGAAAAAAUUACACCAAGGGGGAAAUUCACUUUACUUACGUGGCAACAUUUUUCUCAAGUUGUAUGUUGAAUAAAUAAAGUAAUCGUGAAAAGUUCCAUCUGAUAUCUUGUAAUGAAGGAAAAGAUACAUCCAACUGAAGAGGUGUGGGCUUAUUCAAGGAAUUAAAUAUACAAGCAAAAGGAAAGCUUGCCGUCACAGAUGUUCGAAUGACAUGAAAGAAUAAGUCUUGGACCAUAUUAAACACUGUAUUGCCGGAAUUUGGUUGUAUCAAUGUGACCAGGAAAUAAGAUGACAGACAGGCUAUCGUGAGUUUAGUUUGUGGACCCAGCACAUGCUGUAAUGCAAAUAUAAAUCAGUUUAAAUAUUUGUGGUUGCAACAAGCAUGAUAUGCGUAUCAACCUAUAACUAAAUGGAUAUGAGCAAAUGUGUCUUACUCUUUUUAUAUAAAAGAAUGACUUGUUAAAAGAGAUUAAGAAAAGGAAGAAGUUACAGUGGAAGAGGACCAGGAGCCCUCUUAAAAGACUAAAUAAGUAAAAGUUAAUUAUAUAGUACAGCGUUCCAAUCCCUCUGGAUAUCAUAAUCUCUAUCACCUUGAUAUGACCCUCUAGUAAAAAAUCAUUACAAAAUAAAGUUAUAUUCUCUCUUUAGAUUAGAAGAAAGGACAAACUUGACACUAAAAGACACUUGGAUUUCUCUCCAAACAAAUACCAAAGAACCUCAAACAAUAACAAAUAUCUUAAAGAUAUUUCCAUCCUUGCCACCACCAAAUCCUCAAACUUGAAAAGAAGAACAUUUUCAAUGCCAGAAGUCAAAUCUUAGAUAUCUCAAAAAUAUCAAACAAAGUAUUCUAGAGAAAAUUUUUAUGACUCUCAUGUUCUUUGGUACCAACUCUUAACAAUUCAUUAAUAGAAGGUUUCUCUACAAAGAAAAAAAUGAGGAAGAGGAAUGGUACUAUUUUUUGCUUAAAACUACAUAAAUAAUCAGGAAGGGAAUGCAGCAAAUUAAAAAGUUGGAUAAAAACUGACCUCUAAAAACCGGACCAUGUGAUUUAUAUAUAAUUCAGAUUGGACGAAUUAAAAAAUAAAGGCUAGAAUACAUUCCAACAAUAUGAAAUAAAUCAAAAAUUAAUAGACAUAUCUCAAUUACUAACUGAAAUUUUUAAAGUAAAAGUUCAUUCUUAUCAAUUUUGUGCUUCAACUCCUACUUAAUUAAAGCACACCUGAGAAUGGUUUUUGAGGUCCAUCUUCAAUAUCUUAUCAUUUAAAUUCUUUGAAAUACUCAAAUUAGUAGCAUAAUCCAGUUUGGCCCUUGUCGUUUGAGAAUUGACUUCCCACUUCCCUGGCAAAUAAUGAACGGAAUCAUCACAAGGGCAAAACAUAGGUCUUAAAAAAAAUAGCAUGGGUGAUGAGUAUGAAAUAUGUUAUAUUUUUAUUCUUUAAUACUUAAUUUUUUAUAUUUAUUUUGUGCCUAAAUACACUCAUUGUUCUUAUAUUUUUAUUUUAGGUAUAAUUGAAAAUUUCCGUGAAUUUGAAAAUAAUUUGAAGACAAAUUGAGUAUUAUUGGAUUAAAGGAGCUAAUAUUCAAGUGGGUCACGAAUUAUUCAAUUGGAGAAAGAAUUCCUAGCAAUCAAAAGCAAUGCACGGAUUCCAAACUAAUAUUAUGGGCAACAUGAGAUCCUAGCCCAAUUAAUGCUCCAACAUAACAAGUACCCAUCCAAUCCUUUUAAAUUAAUAUUACAAAUCAUGUGGGCCACAGUUUGCUUUUGUUUUCAUGCAGCAAACUUGCAAUCCUUACAUUUAUUCACGUGGGCAAUAUAUUCAUGGAUUCUAAUUCUAAUUGGAAGAGGAUCCACUAAGUCACAAAGAAUUUAGCAGCUUCACGCGACAUGGAAAAAUCCGAACGCGGCAUGGAGAGUUGGCACAAGGCAUAUUGUGGAAUUUAAUUCCAAUUUCAAAUCUGAUUUUUGGAUUCUAGAAAAUUAAUUUUUACAAUUCUAUUGUAAUUAGGAUUUCUUUUAGACUAAGAUUUAUUUCCAAGUUGAAUUCUAUUUCUCUAUGGAAAUUAGUGUAAUUUGUAAUUUCUUUAGGAUUUGGAUUUCUACUUCCUAUAGGAUUUAGGACUUUGUCUAGCACUAUAAAUAGAGGAUGAGAGUCGGGGUUUUAUUCAUUCAACAAUCAAUUAUCAUCUAUUAGAGUGCACACUCAAGAGUAUGUCAGGCUAGUUCUUUUCAUUCAGUUCUAAAGGGAGGUAGAACCUUGUUACAAGUAAUUAAUUAAUUGAGUAUUAUUAUUUAUUACUUCUUGUGUGAAAUUUCUUUUGAUAAUCUGUUUUCAUUGAUUGCACGCUAAUUGAUCUAAUUAAUUUAAUAUGGUCAAUUGAGUUAGUUUGGUCGUUAUCAUAUGCUAGAUUAAGAUUGGUAUUACGUGUAAUUGAUAACUAUCUUCGUCACUAGUAGUAACUUGAUAAUAAUAAUUAUGGACAAGCUUUUGUUUAUUGCUAAGAUUAUCAAAAAACAAGUUAAACAAAUCGAGCUUAUGCGUUUGUUACUUGGAUUAGCCUAAUUCUCUAUUUCUUAAUGCUUCUAUCAUAUUAAAUCUAGAGAGCUUAUUAUAGGUUGUAUGCUAGUUAGAAUCUAGUGGAGAGCUUGUUUCAUAUAGUGAUAAUCUAAGGAGAAUUUCGGAUAGCAGAGCUUAUUGUUAUCUAGGGCUAAUAAUUUCAUUGAAGGGAAAAAAAUAAUUAAUUGAUUAAUUGAUUGUUGUACUUGGUGAAACUGAACUGCAGAACUGAAGUUUUUACAUAUUUGGUUAAAUCAUUAAUUCUUGUUCUCUUAGUUUAAAAAUAAUUUUCAAAAACCCCCAUCUUUAUUUUCUAUCAAAAUAAUAGAAUAAAUAUAAAACAAAUUACUCUCUGUGGGAUCGAUCCUUACUUACUAAUAGAACUCUCAGGGAUGGCGAUUCAAAACAACAAUAGAACUCUCAGCGAGUUGGCAACUCCUAAUUUAAAUAAACAACCUCUGUGCAAUGAAUAUCCUAAUUUAGAUGUUGCAUUUGAACUUAAAUCAGGACUAAUCCAUUUACUGCCUACUUUUCGUGGUCUUACAGGUGAGGACCCUUUCAAACAUCUAAAGGAAUUUCAUGUGGUGUGCUCUACUAUGAAACCACAUGGAAUCACCGAAGAGCAAAUCAAGUUGAGAGCAUUCCCAUUCUCCCUAGCAGAUUUGGCAAAGGAUUGGUUGUACUACCUACCCUCAGGUUCAAUACAGUCUUGGAAUGACAUGAAGCAGUUGUUCUUGGAGAGAUACUUUCCAGCCUCAAGAGUAGCCAACAUAAGGAAGGAGAUCUGUUAGAUUAGACAAUUCAGUGGGGAGACACUAUACGAGUAUUGGGAAAGAUUCAAAAAGCUUUAUUCUAGCUGUCCACCGCAUCAAAUAGAUGAACAAUACCUGAUCCAAUAUUUCUACGAAGGGUUGGCACCGAUGGAUAGAAGCAUGAUCGAUGCAGCUAGCGAAGGGGCACUAGUUGACAAGACCCCAAAGGCUGCAAGGAAUUUAAUUGUAAACAUGGUAGCAAACUCGCAACAAUAUGGCACUAGAACAAAUCAUGCACCAGUAAGGGUAAGCGAGGUAAGCACUUGUGAUUAUGGUCAACAAAUUUCUGAAUUAACUGCUAUGGUUAGACAAUUAGCUACAGGUCAACUUCCAGUUGCAAAGGUUUGUGAAAUAUGUUUACAAUCAAAUCACAAUACAGAUCAAUGCCCAACAUUACAAGAUGACGAGGCUGUGCAACAAGCUAAUGCAAUGGGAAAUUAUUAGCCACCUCCUCAGAGAAAGUAUGAUCCGUACUCAAACACGUAUAACCCAGGAUGGAGGGAUCAUCUAAAUCUGAGUUAUGGGAGCAAGCAAGCGGCACCACCUGCAUUUCCACCUAGACAGCAGGGCUUCCAACCAGCCUAACCUCAAUAUCAACCGAAGCAAGCAGUCCCUGCACCUACUGGAACAUCAUUGGAGGAUAUGUUCAAAGCAUUCAUGGGACAAACACAACAAUUCAUGCAAGAGACAAAAACUUCGGUUCAAGAUUUGAGGAACCAAUUAGGACAAUUGGCUACAACUGUGGGGAUAUUGGAAUCCAGAGGCUCAGGAAAAUUACCAUCUCAAACAGUAGUCAACCCAAGGGAGAAUGCAAGUGCCAUAACUUUACGGAAUGGAACACAGUUGGAUACACCACCGACCCCCGUAGAGUUCGAGAAGGAAGCAGCUAAGGAAGAAACAAAAAAAUCCAAGGUGCAACCUAACCCUCCUAAUCAGCUUAAAAACAUUCCUCUUCCCUUUCCUCCCAGAAAUUCUAAAACCUCAAAGAAAGAUGAAAAAAAAAAAGAAAUUUCGAAAACUUUUAGAAAAGUAGAAGUGAACAUCCCUCUUCUUGAUGUAAUUAAACAAGUACCAUGGUAUGCUAAAUUUUUAAAAGAAUUAUGCACUAAUAAAAGAAAAUUGCAAAAUGAUGAAAGAGUCACAGUUGGAGAAAAUGUAUCUGUUGUUCUUCAAAGAAAAAUGCCUCCUAAAUGUAAAGAUCCAGGAAUGUUCACAAUCCCAUGCAAAAUAGGAAACAUCAGAUUUGAAAAAGGCAUGCUAUAUUUAGGAGCUUCAAUUAAUGUUAUGCCUUUAUCUGUUUAUGCCUCCUUAAAUCUAGGCCCUUUGAAAAAUACUGGUGUGAUUAUCCAAUUGGCAGAUCGUACUAACACCUACCCCCGAGGGGUAAUUGAAGAUGUCUUAGUGCAGAUGAACGAACUAAUCUUUCCUGCAGAUUUUUACAUUGUGGAUAUGGAAGAUGAUACAUCACCAAACCCUUCCCACAUCUUGUUAGUAAAACCCUUCCUAAAAACAGCAAGAACUAUGAUUGAUGUGCAUAAUGGGACCUUGACUAUGGAGUUUGAUGAUGAGAAAAUUUAGUUUAACAUCUAUGAUGCCAUGAGGUACCCUACUGAUAUAGGACAGGUUUUUGCUAUCGAUGUGAAAGACUCCUUGGUGCAUAGAGCUUUUGAACAACUACAUAGGGACAGUUUAGAAAUUGCAAUCACCAACAGUUUGGACAUGGACAGGGAAGAAGAGAUUACGCAAACCCAAGAAUUGAAGGAGAAUGUAGCUGCAUUACAUUCAUUGCCAAAAUUCUCAAAUAAGUUAGCAGUACAUUCUAUUUAAUUUCUUGUUUCUCAUCAAAAGUUAUUACCUUCUGUUGUACAAGCCCCAACUCUAGAAUUGAAACAAUUACCUGCUCAUUUGAAAUAUGCAUAUUUGGGGACUAAUGACACUUUGCCUGUAAUUAUUGCUAGUAAUCUAACCAAGGUGCAGGAAGAAAAAUUGCUGAGAGUCCUAAAGCACCAUGUUACAGUUUUUGGAUGGACAAUAGCGGAUAUCAAGGGUAUUAGUCCUGCCAUGUGCAUGCAUCGGAUAUUGUUAGAGGAUGGAGCUAAGCCUACAAGAGAUGCGCAAAGGAGAUUGAAUCCAUCCAUGAUGGAGGUGGUGAAAAAAGAAGUGCUCAAAUUGCUUGAUGUCGGUAUCAUCUAUCCCAUCUCCGAUAGUCAAUGGGUGAGUCCAGUGCAGGUAAUCCCAAAGAAAUCCGGAAUCACCAUUGUCAAGAAUUAUGAUAAUGAGUUGGUGCCCACACGAAUGCAAACAGGGUGGAGAGUAUGUAUAGAUUAUAGAAAAUUGAAUGUUGUAACAAGAAAGGAUCACUUUCCUCUUUCUUUUAUUGAUCAAAUGUUGGAGAGAUUAGUUGGGCACACUUAUUAUUGUUUUCUAGAUGGUUUUUCAGGAUAUAACCAGAUUGUGAUUGCACCCGAGGACCAAGAGAAGACCACAUUCACAUGUCCCUUUGGUACUUUUGCCUAUCGACGGAUGUCUUUUGGACUGUGUAAUGCCCCAAGUACUUUUCAACGAUGCAUGGUAAGCAUUGUUUUCAAAUCUUUUAGAAGAAUGCUUCGAGGUUUUUAUGGAUGAUUUUACAAUUCAUGGUGAUUCUUUGGAUGCAUGCUUAGAUAAUUUAAAUCGUGUUCUAGAUAGAUGCAUGGAAACUAAUCUUGUUUUAAAUUGGGAAAAAUGUCAUUUCAUGGUAGAACAGGGAAUAGUACUUGGACAUGUUAUGUCAUCUAAAGGUCUUGAAGUUGAUAAAGCUAAGAUAAAUGUUAUAUCUGCUUUGCCUUACCCCGUCAGCGUGCGGGAGAUUCGCUCUUUUCUUGGUCAUGCAAGAUUUUAUCGAAUAUUUAUCGAGGACUUCUCGAAGAUUGCAUUACCCUUAUGUAAGUUGCUACAAAAAGAUGUGGACUUUCAGUUUGAUGGUGAAUGCAAGGAGGCUUUUGACACUUUAAAGAAAUUAUUAACUUCUGCCCCUGUCAUUCAACUGCCAAAUUAGAAGUUGUCAUUUGAGAUCAUGUGUGACGCAAGCAACUAUGCAGUGGGGGCUGUUUUGGGACAAAGGAUUGACAAAGCCGUUCAUGCCAUCUACUAUGCUUCGAGGACUUUGAAUGAGGCUCAGAUAAACUAUUCCACAACUAAAAAAGAACUUUUAUCUGUGGUUUUUGCUUUAGAUAAAUUUCAAUCAUAUUUGCUUGGUACUAAAAUUAUAGUUUAUUCUGACCAUGCUGCUCUCAGGUAUUUGCUCACCAAGAAAGAUUCUAAAUCAAGGAUUAUUCGAUAGAUUCUGCUCUUACAAGAAUUUGACUUAGAGAUCAAGGAUAAAAAAGGUGCGGACAACUUAGUAGCAGAUCACUUGAGUAGGUUAUUGAGAGACGAGGAAGAGCUACCGUUACAUGAUUCUUUCCCGGAUGAGCAGUUACUUUCCAUCCAUGCUGAGAUUCCCUGGUAUGCAGAUAUGGUGAAUUAUUUGGUAAGUGCAUAUUUUCCUAAAGAAUUUUCCAAAUCCUAAAAGGAAAAGUUAAAAAGUGAUGCUAGACACUAUGUUUGGGAUGAUCCAUACUUGUGGAAAUUUGUGCUGACCAGAUAGUUAGACGAUGUGUGCCUAACAGUGAAUUUCAAUCUAUUCUUUCCUUUUGUCAUUCUUAUGCUUGUGGAGGACAUUUUGGUCCAAAAAGAACUGCUAAUAAAGUUUUGGAAAGUGGUUUUUAUUGGCCAUCGCUUUUUAAAGAUUCCUAUUUGUUUUGUAAAACAUGUGUUAAUUGCCAAAGGACGGGGAAUAUUUCUCAACAAAAUCAAAUGCCCCAAACUCCUAUAUUAGUUGUUGAGAUUUUUGAUGUAUGGGGUAUAGAUUUUAUGGGACCUUUUUCCUUCAUCAUUUGGGAAUUUAUUCAUUCUUUUGGCUGUUGAUUAUGUCUCAAAAUGGGUGGAAGUUAAAGCCACUAGGACUGACGAUUCUAAAGUUGUUGCAGAUUUUGUUAGGACUAACAUAUUUGUCAGGUUUGGAACACCACGAGCCAUCAUUAGUGAUCGCGGAACCCACUUUUGCAACAGGGUGUUAGCGGUUUUGUUCACGAAAUACAAUGUUCUGCGCAGAGUAAUGGUCAAGUUGAGGUGUCUAACAGAGAGAUAAAAUCCAUUUUGGAGAAGGUAUUCAACCCGAGCAGAAAGGAUUGGAGUAUGAGAUUAGAUGAUGCACUUUGGGCCUAUAGAACUGCGUAUAAAACAACUAUUGGGAUGUCACCAUACAGGAUUGUGCUUGGAAAACCAUGCCACUUACCUGUUGAGUUGGAGCAUAGGGCUUUUUGGGCAAUCAAGCAGUGCAACAUGAGUUUGGAGGCAGCUGGAGUACACAGGAAAUUACAGUUACAAGAGUUAGAAGAAUUGAGGAAUGAAGCCUAUGAAAGUUCAAAGAUUUUCAAGGAAAAGACCAAAGUUUUUCAUGAUAUGCAGAGCGGAAAACCUUUAUUGUGGGACAGUUUUGCUAUAUCAUUCUCGGAUUAAGUUAUUUCCAGGUAAAUUGAGAUUUAGAUGGGUUGGUCCUUUUGUUAUCACUAAUGUGUUUCCUCAUGGUGCAAUUGAGAUUCAAAGCCCGAGCACAAGCAAGAUCUUUAAGGUGAAUGGACAUAGAUUAAAGCCUUUCUAUGAGGGGCAUCAGGUGGAAAAUAUUGAGAUGGUGGAGCUAGACGAUCCGAUCUAUGAAAGCUGAGAAGAGAGGCAUGACGUUGAGCCAAAGACGUUAAACACGGGCAGCUGCUUGGGAGGCAAUCCAAGAUCUCAGAUUUGAUUUUUCUAUCCCUUCACUUUUUAGUUUUUUUUAUUGUAUGUUAGCUAGUAGUAUUUUCUUCUUCGCAUGAUUUUUUUACAUUGGGGACAGUGUAAGGUUUGAGUGUGGGGGGGGGGGGAGAUUUAGGUUUUAUUUUAUGUAGGAAUAAUAAUCCAAUUUUGAUGGGAAGUUCAAAAAAUUGAAAAAAAUCUGAUUUUUUUUUUUUGAAAACUUGGGUUCCAUGGUUCUAUUUGCCUAUGUGUUCGAAGGUUAAAGUCAAAGAUUGAAAAUUGAUACUAAAAUUCAUAAUCUGGUUGAUGCUUAAUUUGUUAAUGAAUGAUGACAACUAAGCCAUGAUCCAUAGUAAUUGAUUUAAAUUGAAUUUGUGAUACAUGAGUACUUGAAUAUGAGAAGCAUGUUUAUUUGCCUAAGUUAAUUGUGGAGUUGUCUAUGUGCACUGAUUUCAUGACUUAGAACUGUUUAACUUGUUUAUGUUGUUGCAGAACCAUGUGAAAAAAAUGAUGAAUGAAAAAAAAAAGGAAAAAAAUGAAAAUUGAAAAUCUGCUUCAAUGUCCAUUGUGCGAAUAACUGGGUAUCUAAGCCUCGAGAAGCAUCGGUAUUCAUGCUAAAAAGUGUGAUGGAUAAAAGUAGCUUGACUAGUCGACUUUUGUGACCUUUGUUACUUGAAUAAGUAAGCCUUAGGGGUGUCUCUACACCUAGCGCCUUAAGAUCAUCUGGUUUGGGAGUCGUUGGUGGAAAGUUCGCUAAUGGGCAACUCUGAAAGCCUAAGAAAAUGAGACAUUGCACAUGUCAAGAAAAGAAAAAAAAUAAUACGAGAAAAGCAUGAAAAUACAUUCAUCUGUGCUAAAGAGGAUGUUCUAUAGAAAAAAAUUAAAAAGUAAGAAAAAUUUGUUCUUGGUUGUGAGUCAGUGUGCAUGGUUUUUGCUUCAUGGUAACUAAGUUGAGUAAGUAUGUAGAUUUUGGGAAAGUUACUUAUGUGGCUACAAUUUGGUUUAAUGAAAUUCAUUGGUGAAAUAGUAAGGUUUUUCAUUGUGAGUUAACUGAUAAGACAUUGAUUAGAAUUUUGCAAAUUUAGUUUUGAUAAUCAUGAUUUGUAUCUUGAAAUCUUUUGACAUGAUGGUUGAAUAGAAUUUUCUGGAAAUCAAACUUUUGAUUUACACGAGGACAAGUAAAAAGAUAAGUGUGGGGGAAUUUGAUGAGUAUGAAAUAUGUUAUAUUUUUAUUCCUUAAUACUUAAAUCUUUUAUAUUUAUUUUGUGCCUAAAUACACUCAUUGUUCUUAUAUUUUUAUUUUAGGUACAAUUGAAAAAUUCCGUGAAUUUGGAAAUAAUUUGAAGACAAAUUGAGUAUUAUUGGAUUAAAGGAGCUAAUAUUCAAGUGGGCCACGAAUUAUUCAAUUGGAGAAAGAAUUCCUAGCAAUCAAAAGCUAUGCACUGAUUCCAAACUAACAUUAUGGGCAACAUGAGAUCCUAGCCCAAUUAAUGCUCCAACAUAACAAGCACCCAUCCAAUCCUUUUAAAUUAAUAUUACAAAUCAUGUGGGCCACGGCUUGCUUUUGUUUUCAUGCAGCAAACUUGCAAUCCUUACAUUUAUUCAUGUGGGCAAUAUAUUCAUGGAUUCUAAUUCUAAUUGGAAGAGGAUUCACUAAGUCACAAAGAAUUCAGCAGCUUCACGCGACAUGGAAAAAUCCGAACGCAGCAUGGAGAGUUGGCUCACGGCAUAUUGUGGAAUUUAAUUCCAAUUUCAAAUCUAAUUUUUGGAUUCUAGAAAAUUAAUUUUUACAAUUCUAUUGUAAUUAGGAUUUCUUUUAGACUAAGAUUUAUUUCCAAGUUGAAUUCUAUUUCUCUAUAGAAAUUAGUGUAAUUUGUAAUUCCUUUAGGAUUUGGAUUUCUACUUCCUAUAGGAUUUAGGACUUUGUCUAGCACUAUAAAUAGAGGAUGAGAGUCAGGGUUUUAUUCAUUCAACAAUCAACUAUCAUCUAUUAGAAUGCAGACUCAAGAGUAUGUCAGGCUAGUUCUUUUCAUUCAGUUCUAAAGGGAGGUAGAACCUUGUUACAAGUAAUUGAUUAAUUGAGUAUUAUUAUUUAUUCCUUCUUGUGUGAAAUUUCUUUUGAUAAUUUGUUUUCAUUGAUUGCAUGCUAAUUGAUCUAAUUAAUAUAAUAUGGCCAAUUGAGUUAGUUUGAUCGUUAUCAUAUGCUAGAUUAAGAUUGGUAUUACGUGUAAUUGAUAUCUGUCUUCGUUGUCUUCGUCACAAGUAGCAACUUGGUAAUAAUAAUUGUGGACAAGCUUCUGUUUAUUGCUAAGAUUAUCAGAAAACAAGUUUAAAAAAUCGAACUUAUAUGUUUGUUACUUGGAUUAGCCUAAUUCUCUAUUUCUUAAUGCUUCUAUCAUAUUAAAUCUAGAGAGCUUAUUCUAGGUUGUAUGCUAGUUAGAAUCUGGUGGAGAGCUUGUUUCAUACAGUGCUAAUCUAAGGAGAAUUUCGGAUAGCAGAGCUUAUUGUUAUCUAGGGCUAAAAAUUUCAUUGAAGGGAAAAUAAUAAUUACUUGAUUAAUUGAUUGUUGUACUUGGUGAAACUGAACUGCAGAACUGAAGUUUUUACAUAUUUGGUUAAAUCAUUAAUUCUUGUUCUCUUAGUUUAAAAAUAAUUUUCAAAAACCCCCCAUCUUUAUUUUCUAUCAAAAUAAUAGAAUAAAUAUAAAACAAAUUAUUCUAUGUGGGAUCGAUCCUUACUUACCACUGUGCUAAUUGUUUGAAUUUGUAAAGUAAAAGUGAGUUAAUUUAGGAGUGUAAAUGACAGCUCCCAAUGGGUUAGUAUUAACAUCAGCAAAAAAAAGGGAUAAAGGAUAACCACAUGUGGGUCCAAAAUAAUUCUAUCUAACAUAUGUAAACAUUAAAAAAUUGUACAAGUACAAUCAUCUGUAUCAAUUACCAUGGCAUGUAUAUAGUGGAGUAAUAAAAGAAGUAAGUUUAGUAUAAGCUAUGUCACAUAAGGCAAAUAAAACAGAGCAAUCUCCUAGCAGGAUAAUGAUCACUAACCCGGAAACCAAUUUGCAUACAAACUUCAACCAGUGGCAUAUUGGAUUGUUUGAAGAUUGUUCACAAAAAACUGUCAAGUGUGAAAAAAGUUAGGUAACUCAACUAUAAUCCUAAAGGCAAAUGUUUCGGGGGUUAAGUUGGGUUGACCUUAUACAAGAUGCAAAGGUGAAUCCAUCCUUUGCAUAUGAUGGGCAAUUUUCCACCUUAGCUCUUGAAAAAUCACAAAAUAGAAGGUAUAAUGAACUUAUAUUUUGAACCCCUUGAAUUCUAAAAAAACAUUAACCUUUUAUAUAGAAUUUGAUCCCUUGUCUAUGAUGAACUUAAGUCCCUUACCUUUAGUCUUAAAAAAACACAUUCUAAUUUUUUUUUAACUUUAUUGCAACUACCAUUUGACCCCUUGUGUAAUACUAGCUCCACCUGCCGAGAUGGCUUGUCUAGAUCAGUACUAUAAAGGAAGCCCAAACUCUCCUUCCCAUUUUUUCUUCACAAGUGUUUUACAUUUUAUAUUUUAGAAAAGGAACAUAUUUCAAAUAAACUGAAAAUGCUUGCUUUCAGAUCAUAAGACAUUAUUUCAUAAGAAAGAGAAAUAUCAUCAAUUACUGCAUACUGCACAUUAACAAACAUUCAUAAACUUAAUACACUACCAAGCCAUCUUGAGCAACAUAACAUUAAAGAAACACAAAGAACAUGUCAAAAUUUACAAAAAAAGAGGAAAUAAUCUCCUGCACCUGUCUAAAGUCAACUUCAACAACCCACCAGUGAACACUAACAUGUAAUGCUGAGAGGGAAUGAUUUAAAUGGCAAUAAUACCAGCCACACUCAUGGGAUAAUGCUAUCCAAGAGAGCAUUUUUAGCAGGUUAAAAAUUAAACUAGACUAGACUGCAAAACUUUAUCACAAACAGCUUCUCUUUUUUCCUUUUUUUGGGUAUUUAAUACUUACUUUUAAUCUAAAGUUAAAUUAACCUCUACAUCCCACUUACAAAAUAAAAGAAGGAAACAUUCAGCAAAAAGUUUAUUGUAUGAUCUGCCAAAUAAAAUUCUCCCUAUUUACACAACAUUAGAAGAGAUUCCAAGUAAAAACCUAUGUCUUCUAAUACCUAAAAUCUGAACUUGGGGUUUAAGCUAAACAAAUGGCAAAUGUUCCUAGCCAAAAAAAAAAUCAACCACAAAUAGCAAGCAUAUUCAUUGUGACAAAUUACCGGGAUCAUUAAAAUAUAUAGCACAUGUGGGUUUGGUCUCUUAAGUACAUUAUAUUAUCCUCUCCUUGAUAUGCCUAAAAAAAUUAUAGUAAUCUGUACUAGAUAUCUCAAAUUUCAACAGAUUUCAAGUGUGAACAUAAAUGAGCUCAAUCAGGAUACAAAAGAAGAAACAAUUAACAUAUUUCCCUCUUGUAAAUGAACAGAAGAAGGCUGAGAAGACUAAACUACUAAAAACUGCAAAUUUGGUCAAAUACUCAAAUCUCUAUAGCUCAGAAAUCUGAAGAAAAAAGUUACAAACUGAUCUAAAAAUUCUACUAAAAAAAUUUAUCAAAUUACCAGGAAAAUCAGAUUCAACCAAAGCAUUUGUAGGUAGAAAAAACCCCAUAAAAAUAAAAUUAGAAGAUCUUAAAAGAAGAAUGAAUUGUCGGGCCGGGGACUCGGGGAUAGAAGAUGGGGUCAGUUUUGAGCUAGCAAAUCUAUAAUACCUCUACUGUGGUUUCGUCUCUUCGAGAUUGACUGAUGAUGACCGAUGAAGGGCCGCCGAAGGCGAUGAGGGAGGCGAUGCGCCGAUGGCCGUCGGCGACUUGAGAGUUCGAGAUCUGGUUUUGGGAUGAGAGAUUGAGAGUUCGAGAUCUAGGUACUUGGUCUGGGUUUGGGAAUUGAGAGAAUGAGAGUUACGACUUCAGAGUGGGC